rnacentral:rRNA from 1 species
GAUCCUGGCUCAGAAUCAACGCUGGCGGCGUGCCUAACACAUGCAAGUCGAACGAGAAAGUGGAGCAAUCCAUGAGUAAAGUGGCGACCGGGUGAGUAACACGUGACUAACCUACCCUACAGUGGGGGAUAACUCCGGGAAACCGGGGCUAAUACCGCAUAACAUCGUAAGAUCAAAGGAGCAAUUCGCUGAAGGAGGGGGUCGCGGCUGAUUAGUAAGUUGGUGAGGUAACGGCUCACCAAGACGAAGAUCAGUAGCCGGCCUGAGAGGGCGCACGGCCACACUGGAACUGAAACACGGCCCAGACUCCUACGGGAGGCAGCAG